UCUUUAUGAACAAUAUUCCUUGUAAUU
rnacentral:piRNA from 1 species